GAGAGAAAUCGGAGUUUGAAGUUCGGGAUCGAAAAUCUCGGUUUUUCACCGAUUUUGGGUUGCCGUUUUUGAGAGAACGACCUAUCGAACGUUAACGAUUCAAGGUGUCAUUUGUCAGUAGACGAGUGAA